ACCUCAAAUCAGGUAGGACUACC
rnacentral:rRNA from 1 species